GCAGGACGCGCGUCCGGCUCUCCCCCAGCCUCUAUCCGGCCCGGUCUCCUGCCAUUCGGGGAGACUGCAGGCCAACCGGGAGGCUGAGUUCGAAGCUAGCAGGGCGGCGAAGCCAGUGUCGCCCGCGGCGUUGAGAAGACGGUUUCAGAAGCAGGCAACAGGAACAAGAUGUGAACUGUUUCUCUUCUGCAGAAAAAGAGGCUCUUCCUCCUCCUCCCGCGACGGCAAAUGUUCUGAAAAAGACUCUGCAUGGGAAUGGCCUGCCUUACGAUGACAGAAAUGGAGGGAACAUCCACCUCUUCUAUAUAUCAGAAUGGUGAUAUUUCU
rnacentral:lncRNA from 1 species